CUCGCUUCUCACACUCUCAUCUCUUCUUCUCCUCUCCUCUCCUCUCCUCUCUGGCGACCAAGAAGAACUGUCGUCCGCCUCUUGAUCGCAGCAGAUUGGUGCUUAUAGAACAGUCGCCUACCUCUCCAAGAACAGUUGUCCCCUGUUUUCCGUUCAUUUGCACCGAAAAGAUGUUUUCGAGAUGAAGAUCUUAGGGCAAAUAGACAGCCUGAGUUUACACAACUGGAUAUGGAGACGGCUUUCACCCCUUUGGAGAACAUGCUGAGGCUCAAUGAAGAUUUGAUUAGACAAGUUAUUAAGUUAGUUGUCAGGUGGUUAAAAUUCUAAUUAGAUUUGGGAAGCACCCUGAUAAAAGAUCAACAAAUAAGAUAGAGAAAAAUGAAUCCAAUCAAAUUAUCUCAAAAUACCCUUUGACAGGCCAAAAAUUUUCUGAGACUAAAAGCUGCUAAUGAAUUAACUUGACCCAAAUUAAUUUUAUGUGGCAUUUGUCAGCAUUGUGAUAUGAAAUCUUUUAAGGUUUGCUUAGGCUGAUGCCUAAUCACUAGAAUUUUUUUUGGACACAGAUAGGCUUGGGUUGGCUUUACUUCAGCUCAGAGUAUGUCUGUAGAUGGGAUGAAAGAGUUUCAAUUGAUAUAUUGCAAGGUUUUCAAAGCUUCAAACCCAAAUCUAGCUGCUAAAAUCUAUAGCAUUUACUAAGGAAUAGACUAUUGAGGCCAUAAUCUAACUUGAUCCAAUCUGUACAUUUUUUCCUAGAAAUGAGUGGGUCAAAUUCCUCUUGAGCAGAGCCCAUCUCGGCUUGUCUUAUGGCCUGAGCUCACCUUUUGAACCUUAAAAUUUUUCUCAACCUUGGUUUGUAGUGAACCAAACUUGUUAGUGCAUGAAGUUGGUGUGCACACUAUUGAUUACAUUGUAGAGUCCAGGCCAGGAGAUUGCUUGCACAUAGCAGAGCUUGUUGCAUCAAGUUAUAAAUUAUAUGUUAUAUAAUUCUUUUAUUAAUUUAGUUUAUUUUUAUGUUCCUGAAACUUGAUUUGAUGGAUGUCACUAUGAGGUUUGAUUAGAUAUGCUUAUUGUAGGUUUUUCUGGAGAUCAAAGUUACUCAGCUACCCAAUCCUUUCCCGAGGCUUACAUAUGCUGAAGUAAUGAGUCAAUAUGGUUUAGACAGGCCAGAUGUUCGAUUGGAUCUCCAAUUAAGAGAUGUAAUAAGGCCUACCUCCCUCUCUCUCUGUCUGGUUUGGGUGGUUUAUUUUUUAUUUAUUUAUUUGGUGGUGGCGGUGGUGGUGGUGGAAGAAAUUGACUUAUAUGUUCAACAUCAGCUUCUACAGUGUUUCUGAUUGGAUCCUGAGAAAACUAAUGCACUUUGCUGAGUGUUUGUUUUUAACUUCACUACUUUCCAGUUUUCAUUAUCUUAGGUUUCUGAUUUUUUAUACUGUAGUUGAGCUGCUAUCAUAAACUUAAUGCAUAGUUACCACUUUAAAAAA